rnacentral:rRNA from 1 species
ACUCAAAUGAAUUGACGGGGGCCCGCACAAGCGGCGGAGCAUGUGGAUUAAUUCGAUGCAACGCGAAGAACCUUACCUGGGUUUGACAUCACGGGAAAACUCGCAGAGAUGCGGGGUCCUUCGGGGCUCGUGACAGGUGGUGCAUGGCUGUCGUCAGCUCGUGUCGUGAGAUGUUGGGUUAAGUCCCGCAACGAGCGCAACCCUCGUUCGAUGUUGCCAGCGGGUUAUGCCGGGGACUCAUCGAAGACUGCCGGGGUCAACUCGGAGGAAGGUGGGGAUGACGUCAAGUCAUCAUGCCCCUUAUGUCCAGGGCUUCACACAUGCUACAAUGGCCGGUACAAAGGGCUGCGAUGCCGCAAGGUGGAGCGAAUCCCAAAAAGCCGGUCUCAGUUCGGAUCGGGGUCUGCAACUCGACCCCGUGAAGUCGGAGUCGCUAGUAAUCGCAGAUCAGCAUUGCUGCGGUGAAUACGUUCCCGGGCCUUGUACACACCGCCCGU